rnacentral:rRNA from 1 species
GAUGAACGCUGGCGGCGUGCCUAAUACAUGCAAGUCGAGCGAACAGAUGAGGAGCUUGCUCCUCUGACGUUAGCGGCGGACGGGUGAGUAACACGUGGAUAACCUACCUAUAAGACUGGGAUAACUUCGGGAAGCCGGAGCUAAUACCGGAUAAUAUAUUGAACCGCAUGGUUCAAUAGUGAAAGACGGUUUUGCUGUCACUUAUAGAUGGAUCCGCGCCGCAUUAGCUAGUUGGUAAGGUAACGGCUUACCAAGGCAACGAUGCGUAGCCGACCUGAGAGGGUGAUCGGCCACACUGGAACUGAGACACGGUCCAGACUCCUACGGGAGGCAGCAGUAGGGAACCUUCCGCAAUGGGCGAAAGCCUGACGGAGCAACGCCGCGUGAGUGAUGAAGGUCUUCGGAUCGUAAAACUCUGUUAUUAGGGAAGAACAAAUGUGUAAGUAACUAUGCACGUCUUGACGGUACCUAAUCAGAAAGCCACGGCUAACUACGUG